GUGUUUACUGUCGUUGAGAGAGGGAAGCGAUUUCUGGCCAGAAAUCAUUUUGUUUUUCAGGUUUCCUUUGUUUUACAUUACCGACUCGGACACCACAGACAUAAUAAGAAAAGAACACAGAAGAGAACAAUAUCCGGUCAGCUCCCUGCAGAAGUUAAAUGUGAAAAGAGCUAAAGAGGCGUGACUGGCAAGUUACAAGCAGGAGAGGACAGACGCAGAGACUGCCAGCAAAAACCGUCUUUCUUGGGGUUCCUGGGAUCGUUGCCUCACUCAGAGGGCUGGACCAGCUGGACCCUCACAAGCUCGAGGUGCUCAUAGAUGCUGUGUGAUAAAGCAGUUUCCAAAUCCCAUAGUGAGUCCUACUCAAAGAUAACCGACCCUCCACUCCAAGGAUAAGGAUUGUGACCAGUUUCAGUUUCAGUUUGGUUCCACCAUUUGUACUGUAUGCUUGUGACAGAGUACCUUCACUACAGCUGAGUAAGCGCUUGGACUGCCAUACCAAGGAGCCUGACUCUUUGGCCUUGCUGUCAAAGUUGCAUGUUUGUUACCCUGUAGACCUGUGUUUGAAUCUGGGUAGGGUGACUGCUCUCAACUUUGUCCACAUAUGGUGUCAGAAGUGGGAUGGCCUGCCGUGAGGUCAUCUGAGCCAUGCCUAGAGUCCGAACCGUAUGAGGGACCCCCAUGGGUAACAUUAAUGAUGGGAUAUGUAUAGUGUACUUUUCAGUAAUACUGAUC